rnacentral:lncRNA from 10 species
UGUGUGGCUUCCUCCACCCAUUAAUUGUAAUUCUAGCAGUUGGGGCCAUGAAGAAAAAUGCAACAACUCUUCUGGGCAGGAGGCUUUUAGAUGACUGAGUACUCUUUUGACAUGUUUCUUUAUUUCUUUACCCUAUCAGCCAGGCUGGAGUGCCGUGGUGUGAUCUGGGCUCACUGCAACCUCUGCCUCCCAGGAUCAAGCGAUUCUCCUGCCUCAGCCUCCCAAGUAAGUGGGAUUACAGGCAUGUGCCACUGAGGAAUUAUGUCUGACAGAAUGGAAGAAAUGACUGCGGUGGCCUUCUCAGACCCUGUAGGA